CAUUUUCAAGUUCAGUUGGUAGAGCAUUGCGUUCACAAUGCUAAGGUCGUGGGUUCAAGUCCCAGGAAAAGGA